GUGCCUCAUGGUGUAGUGGUUAUCACAUCUGUCUAACACACAGAAGGUCCCAGGUUCGAUCCCUGGUGAGCACA
rnacentral:tRNA from 1 species